AUUGAACGCUGGCGGCAGGCCUAACACAUGCAAGUCGAGCGGAUGAAGGGAGCUUGCUCCUGGAUUCAGCGGCGGACGGGUGAGUAAUGCCUAGGAAUCUGCCUGGUAGUGGGGGAUAACGUCCGGAAACGGGCGCUAAUACCGCAUACGUCCUGAGGGAGAAAGUGGGGGAUCUUCGGACCUCACGCUAUCAGAUGAGCCUAGGUCGGAUUAGCUAGUUGGUGGGGUAAAGGCCUACCAAGGCGACGAUCCGUAACUGGUCUGAGAGGAUGAUCAGUCACACUGGAAAUGAGACACGGUCCAGACUCCUACGGGAGGCAGCAGUGGGGAAUAUUGGACAAUGGGCGAAAGCCUGAUCCAGGCAUGCCGCGUGUGUGAAGAAGGUCUUCGGAUUGUAAAGCACUUUAAGUUGGGAGGAAGGGCAGUAAGUUAAUACCUUGCUGUUUUGACGUUACCAACAGAAUAAGCACCGGCUAACUUCGUG
rnacentral:rRNA from 1 species